CUAAUGCCCGUUUUCACCAACAAUCUCUUACCGUUUCCCUAUCUAAAUGCUACUUUUAAUAAAGACCCCUCCCAAUUUGACACCUACCUAAAUUCAUUUUCACCACACUUGUACAUGGAUCCCUUAAGUAAGUGACAGAUUACUAGUUCUACAAACGAUAAUGCAAAGUCGAUAUUUUAUCGAUAAAAUGAUUUUUCUGUACUUCUUAAGAAAUAAACGUCUAUCGAGUAUAUAUUACUAAAGCCUGUGAGUUUUUUUUCUUGUGAUGUUAUUUUAAUUUAACUUAAACUACAUUACGCUAUGUUUUAUGCAAUAGAACAGUAAAGAGGUUUUCUAUAGGUGAAUUUUUACCUAUGUCAUUCGCGCGUUUGUCAAAUUGACUGAUGUGUAUGUGUACAUAGAGUGAGGUUAAUUUUGGGUUUAUUAUUGUUGAAUAGAUAAGUUUAUUUUGGCAGAGAAGAGAAAACGAGGAUAAACCUUUCUUGCAGAAGAAAAAGACAAGCUAGUGAAAUUGCUGACGUCUCAUAGAGACACAAUAUUAAACAAAAAACGGAUGGGACCACGAACGAAGCCAAAAACAAAGCUUGGAUCCAGUCACAAAUACAUAGUUUUAAUGCGACAGGAACCCUUUACAGUUUCAGGUGGUGCGAGAAAUUGGAAAGACGUGUAAAAACAUGCUGCGCCCAGUCCACCUCAAAUUGAAUUGGUGCAGGAGGAUGAUGAUAAUGUUUGGUACAUCAUAUGAGGACUAAUAUUAAAAUAUUUGUUUAC
rnacentral:lncRNA from 1 species